UAAUUGGAGAGUUUGAUCCUGGCUCAGGACGAACGCUGGCGGCGUGCCUAAUACAUGCAAGUCGAGCGGAG
rnacentral:rRNA from 1 species